NGCUGGGAGAGCGCCUGCUUUGCACGCAGGAGGUCUGCGGUUCGAUCCCGCAUAGCUCCACCA
rnacentral:tRNA from 1 species